rnacentral:rRNA from 1 species
AUUGAACGCUGGCGGCAGGCCUAACACAUGCAAGUCGAACGAGUGGCGGACGGGUGAGUAAUGUCUGGGAAACUGCCUGAUGGAGGGGGAUAACUACUGGAAACGGUAGCUAAUACCGCAUACCAUCGGAUGUGCCCAGAUGGGAUUAGCUAGUAGGUGGGGUAAAGGCUCACCUAGGCGACGAUCCCUAGCUGGUCUGAGAGGAUGACCAGCAAAACUGGAACUGAGUGUAGGUCCGGAGUACUACGGGAGGCAGCAGUGGGGAAUAUUGCACAAUGGGCGCAAGUCUGAUGCAGCCAUGCCGAGUAUAUGAAGAAGGCAUUCGGGUUGUAAAGUACUUUCAGCGGGGAGGCGUUACCCGCAGAAGAAGCACUGGCUAACUCCGUGCCAGCAGCGGCGGUAAUAC